rnacentral:rRNA from 1 species
UUCGNUCCUAGCGGCGGACGGGUGAGUAACGCGUGGGAACGUGCCCCUUGCUGCGGAAUAGCCCCGGGAAACUGGGAUUAAUACCGCAUGAUCCCCCUGAUCAUGGAGAUCUGGGGGCAAAGAUUUAUCGGCAAGGGAUCGGCCCGCGUUGGAUUAGGUAGUUGGUGGGGUAAUGGCCUACCAAGCCGACGAUCCAUAGCUGGUUUGAGAGGAUGAUCAGCCACACUGGGACUGAGACACGGCCCAGACUCCUACGGGAGGCAGCAGUGGGGAAUCUUAGACAAUGGGGGCAACCCUGAUCUAGCCAUGCCGCGUGAGUGAUGAAGGCCCUAGGGUUGUAAAGCUCUUUCAGCUGGGAAGAUAAUGACUGUACCAGCAGAAGAAGCCCCGGCUAACUCCGUGCCAGCAGCCGCGGUAAUACGGAGGGGGCUAGCGUUGUUCGGAAUUACUGGGCGUAAAGCGCACGUAGGCGGACCGGAAAGUGGGGGGUGAAAUCCCGGGCCUCAACCCCGGAACUGCCUUCAAAACUAUCGGUCUGGAGUUCGAGAGAGGUGAGUGGAAUUCCGAGUGUAGAGGUGAAAUUCGUAGAUAUUCGGAGGAACACCAGUUGGCGAAGGGGGCUCACUGGCUCGAUACUGACCGCUGAGGUGCGAAAGCCGUGGGGGNGCAAACAGGAUUAGAUACCCUGGUAGUCCACGCCGUAAACNAUGAAUGCCAAUUCGUCGGGCAGCAUGGCUGUUCGGUGACACACCUNAANGAUUNAGCAUUCCGCCCGGGGGAGUACGGUCGCAAGUUAAACUCAAG